UUGAGAAGAUAAUUAGAUGAAAUAAUUAAUUAAACUUUAGGUGCUGCUAAUGAAGCGCAUUCUUCAACAUUCUCAGGCCAAUCGCAAACGUUUUCCUUUAUGUUGAAUACAAGAUUCUGUGGACAAGGCAUAUGAUGUUUCCGUUUCCCUUCACACAUAUAAUACAUGGUACAGUCUUUUUUAUCCUUAUGAUAACUAAUGUGUCCAUCCUCCUCUUCACAAGAAACUUCAUCUUUAUCUAAUUUUUGGCCAAUUGCAUUAUUUAAAUUGCUGCUUGAGGUUUCCAGGUUAGCAACUCGAUAACCUCUUAGCUCUUCCUUUGCUGCAUUUAUCAAUGGGUAAUUGAAACCCAUGCAGGUUCCCUUAAAAUCAUCCAUGUCAAUAGACCAGAUCAUUAUGCCGCUGUAACCGGCUUGUUUUAACCAUUGAACCUUAAUUUUAAAACUACGGAGAUCAUCAAAUCCAACCCAUUGGUCAUCUUUAUAUGCAUAAGGAACCAUUUGUUCAUUGUCCCAAACUAAAGUUGCUCCUUGUUUAAGUAAAUCACAGACUUCAAAGAAUGAAAGGAAUCCAGAUUCACGGGUAAAUUGACCUGGUAAACCUCCUUUUAUUGCCGGUGCUCCGAUAUCGGUUAAAUUGGAUGAUUGGAGUGUAAAGGUACGUCCAUAAGUCGGUAGGCCUACAACCAGUUUCUCCUUUGAUGCUCCUUUGUUGACCCAUUCAGAGACACUGAAAUCCACUGUCAGCUUCUUGUGGUAACCAGUGGCACUAUUUAACGGGAAAAGUGGACUAUUGUGACCAACUGCGUGUUCCCAAUCUCCAUGGAAAUCGUAAGUCAUCACACUCAUGUAAUCCAAGUAAUUGUUUAAUUGUGGGACAUCAUAUCCAGCGGCAACGGCUUCGAAACUGGCCGGAACAGCGGCACUUAAUAGUAAUCGAGAUUUUUUAGAACCUUUUGCUUCUCCCUCAAACGUUCAAAGGCUUCUCUCAAUUCUUUAAUCAAUCCGGUAAAUUUGGCCUUAUCGUCGGGUCCUCGAGGGAAUUCCCAACAUAAGUCUAACCCGUCGAAACCGAUUUUUCUUAAAAAUUCAAUGGUGCUAAAGGUAAAUGAGGUUUGACGAUAAACGUUCUCGGUUAAAGCUUUGAAUGGAGCUGGACCGACCAUCCAACCACCGACGGCUAAUAAUAAUUUAAGGUCAGGGUUUUUCUCUUUCAGUUUGACCAAUGAAGCGAGAAUCGAUGGAUCUUCGGAUUCUUCGUCUAAUUUGUGAUCUUUUAGUCCGGUGAAAGCAUAGACAAGGUGGGUGCAUAGGGUUGGAUCAAUGUUCUCAGGUUCAAAUUUACCAGCACCGGGACGUUUUUGUGACCAUUUAGUGAAAUAGCAAAUUAUCCGAGCAUUAGUUGAAUUAGGAUCGAUUUCUGAUUCGGUUAUUGCAUUAUCUGGAAGUAAAGUUGUUCCAAUAUCCGAUUUUUUCUCAAUCAAAUUAGUCUCAGCAUUGGGGGUUGUUGGCUUAGGUGAGGUAAGAGGACGAGCUGAGGCGCGUUUAACAACGGCAUUAAAGGAAGAUUGUGGAGCUGGUCGACCCAUCAACUCUUCGGUCAUGAUACCAAUCAAUGGAUAUUUAACACCAGUACAUCGGCCUGAAAAAUCAUCCAUAUCAACAGUCCAAACCAUGGCUCCAGCAUAAUCAUUAUCAAUAAUCCAUUUCAUCUUAUUACGAAU
rnacentral:misc_RNA from 1 species